rnacentral:lncRNA from 1 species
UUUAAGGGAUGCGCAGAACCCAUUGCAGGCAAUUUUUCUUUUCCCCAAAAGCUAUCAAAAUUAAGCCACCUUCUUGGGAAAAAAUAAAUCUAUUGAAAAUCCAAAUCCACCUUUUUAAAACCCCUUUUCUUUUUUACAAUCACCUUUUUUAUUUUUUUGACAAAAACUUAAGAAUUUUUUUUUGAAAUGUUCUCUCAACUCAUACACUCAUUUUCUCCUCUUCAUCAGACACCAGCUCUAUCAAAGGUCCCAUGUGCGAUGGCCACCGACGACAUGAGCACAACUCCGGUAAGACUUAUCUCUUUUAAACUUUGUCUUUGUUUUGGAUCCGAAAAAAAAACAGAAAAAGGAAAAAAAAAACAGAAAUAAAUUACAGCAAAAGCUCACCUUCAAAAAAAAAUCUUCUAGUUAUUCUUUACUGAUUUUGUAUUUCUUUUUGCAUAUCAAAAAACGUCUCCCCCCCUUUACAAUGAAAAAAAUAAAGGCUUUAUAGCCAAAAUACAAACAGUUUCUUCUUAUCUCUUUGCUCAAGUCGCAGAUAUAAUGGACGUGGGGCGUGGGUCGUGCUUGGUGGUGGAGAACGUGGGUAGUAGAAGCAUGGAGGCAGUUAGAGGCUAGGGUCUUGGCUGAAAAUGUUUUGGGGUUUGUGGGUUAGGGUUAAGUAUUUGGGCUUCAAAAUUGAGUCUAUUUUUAUUUUGUUUUUGAUUUGAUUUUGGUUCUAUUUUUUGUAUUUGGGGGUUUAUUUUUGGUUUAAAAAUUUGGGCUUUAAAGGUAAAUGGGCCCGGGCAAAAUUUGGUACCCACAAUAAUAAUAAUAAUAAUGGUAAAAUAGAAAAAAUAACUAAAAGGACUAAAUUGAACUUAAAAUAGAAGUUUGGGGAAAAUUCAGAAUAAAAGUACAAAGAAAAGGACCAAUUUGGGCGCGGAUAACAACAGAGGACCAAAACGGGAAAUAUCCCACCCUCACAAAACGCAUAGCACCAAGAGGGACCAAAUUGAAGGUCAAAAUAAAUUAUAGGGUAAAAUUAGAAAUAAUGAAAAUUUUAAAUUCAAAACAAUAAAAAAUCGAAAGGGAUAAAAGUGAAAUUAGCCCUUCCACUUAAAAACACGCGGAUCCUGAGGCGGGUCGAGUCAGAUUCGGGUCGACCAAGGCAAAAUGACUUUGUUUUGAGGCUUAUGAGCUUAAGUCAAAACGACGUCGUUUUAUUUUACUAAAACUUCAUUUUUCUCCCCUCCUUUUCCGAAAAAACAAAAAAAGCUCUCUCUCAAACUCUCUCAACUCCUCAGAGCUCCGAUCAUAGCUCCACCGUCGUUCGCCAUCGCCGACCACCGUGCGCGGUGGCCGGAACUCCAAAAAAAAUAUUUUUUUUUAUAUUUCUUUAAUAUAUUUUUAAUAUAUAUGUGUGUAAUCGGUUAAAAAAUAAAGGAGUAAAUAGGUUCGAAAAAGAAAAAAAUAAAAUAAAAUAAAAAUAAAAACGAAAAUAGAUAAAACUUUUUAUUUGAAACCUUUGAACCCUGUUUUGGUGUUUCUUGCUGCGAUCAAGUGUUUAUGUUGGUGUUUAAAUCUUUUUGAUUGUAUUUCUACUCUGUUAUUUUGUAUUUGAAAGUCUAUUUUUAUUUUAAAAGAAAAAAGGGUUCCCAAAGUUUACAUUUUUUGGGGCUUUUAUAGCCUGAUUUCAUUACAAUUAUUCUUGCUACUUGUUUGCUGUCAUUUUUUCUCUGAUUUUGCAGGUGGCGGUGGCAAGGGCGGUGCUUGCAGUGGCGGUGCAAGUGGAGGCACCUAGGGUUUGCUGCUUCCUUGUUUUUUCUGCUGGUGGUUUGGGCUAAGGUAGGUUGGGCUUAGUUGGUUUAAUUGGUAUUGGGUUUAGUUUAGUUUAAUUGGGUUGAAGACUUAAGUUUCGGUUUUGGGUUGGUUGUUGGACAGUUUAUUUUUGGGGUGAGUUAAUUUGGUUUAAUUGGGGUUGGAGCUUGGUUUGUACCUAAGCCAAAAUUGGGCCUCAACAAUUAAUAUAAUUAUUAUUACUUAUUAUUUUAAUAAAAUUAUGUAUAUUACAAUAAAUUAAUCACCAAUCACCAAUCCUUAACAUAUAUUACAAUUUUGUUUUAAUACUAAAUAUUAAUAUUUAUAACCUUU